rnacentral:rRNA from 1 species
AACGCGAAGAACCUUACCCGGGCUUGAACUACGGAUGGUAAGUCCCAAGAAACUGGGGCUGACCCGCAAGGGAGUCCGCAGAGGUGCUGCAUGGUUGUCGUCAGCUCGUGUCGUGAGAUGUUGGGUUAAGUCCCGCAACGAGCGCAACCCCUAUCUCAUGUUGCUAAUCCCGUAAGGGAUGCACUCUUGAGAAACUGCCUUCGAUAAGAAGGAGGAAGGUGGGGACGACGUCAAAUCCUCAUGGCCCUUAUGUCCGGGGCUACACACGUGUUACAAUGGCCGGUACAAUGGGAAGCAAUACCGCAAGGUGGAGCCAAACCCACAAAGCCGGCCCCAGUUCAGAUCGUGGGCUGAAACCCGCCCACGUGAAGGCGGAAUCGCUAGUAAUCGCUGAUCAGCAGGCAGCGGUGAAUACGUUCCCGGGCCUUGUACACACCGCGAGC